UGGGGAAUAUUGCACAAUGGGCGCAAGCCUGAUGCAGCCAUGCCGCGUGUGUGAAGAAGGCCUUCGGGUUGUAAAGUACUUUCAGCGGGGAGGAAGGGAGUAAAGUUAAUACCUUUGCUCAUUGACGUUACCCGCAGAAGAAGCACCGGCUAACUCCGUGCCAGCAGCCGCGGUAAUACGGAGGGUGCAAGCGUUAAUCGGAAUUACUGGGCGUAAAGCGCACGCAGGCGGUUUGUUAAGUCAGAUGUGAAAUCCUCGGGCUCAACCUGGGAACUGCAUCUGAUACUGGCAAGCUUGAGUCUCGUAGAGGGGGGUAGAAUUCCAGGUGUAGCGGUGAAAUGCGUAGAGAUCUGGAGGAAUACCGGUGGCGAAGGCGGCCCCCUGGACAAAGACUGACGCUCAGGUGCGAAAGCGUGGGGAGCAAACAGG
rnacentral:rRNA from 1 species